rnacentral:rRNA from 1 species
AUUGAACGCUGGCGGCAGGCCUAACACAUGCAAGUCGAACGAGUGGCGGACGGGUGAGUAAUGUCUGGGAAUCUGGAUUAUGGAGGGGGAUAACUAGGGGAAACUGUAGCUAAUACCGCGUACCAUAGGAUGAGCACAAGUGGGAUUAGGUAGUAGGUGUGGUAAAGGCGCACCAAGGCGACGAUCACUAGCUGGUCUGAGAGGAGUACCAGCCACCCUGGGACUGAGACACGGCCCAGCCUCCUACGGGAGGCAGCAGUGGGGAAUAUUGCGCUAUGUGGGCAACCCUGACGCAGCCAUGCCGCGUGUAUGAAGAAGGCCUUCGGGUUGUAAAGUUCUUUCGGUGUCGAGGCGUUAACCGCAGAAUAAGCACCGGCUAACUCCGUGCCAGCAGCCGCGGUAAUAC